UACAGAGGUCCCAAGCGUUGUUCGGAUUUACUGGGCGUAAAGGGUGCGUAGGUGGUGAGGUAAGUCUGAUGUGAAAUCUCCGAGCUUAACUCGGAAAUGGCAUUGGAAACUACCUUGCUAGAGGGUUGGAGGGGGGACUGGAAUACUUGGUGUAGCAGUGAAAUGCGUAGAUAUCAAGUGGAACACCAGUGGCGAAGGCGAGUCCCUGGCCAGCUCCUGACACUGAGGCACGAAAGCUAGGGGAGCAAACAGG
rnacentral:rRNA from 1 species